GAACGCACAUUGCGCCCAAUGGUAUUCCAUUGGGCAUACCUGUUUGAGUAUCAGAAUCCUUUUAAUUAUCAAACUUUUAUGUAUAGAGAUGUAUGUAAAGAUGUUUGGAUAUAAAAUUGAGAAAAGUAGGUAUUAUUUAUAAUACUACUUUCUUAAAAACCAGAAAUAUUAUGUUUUGAUUUUUCUUCAAUCUCAUUUUGUAUAUUAUUUAACAAAUGAGUACGAGUAAAAAUAACAAUACUUUGGAUGACCUCAAAUCAGGUAGGACUACCCGCUGAACUUA
rnacentral:misc_RNA from 1 species